GACGAACGCUGGCGGCGUGCCUAAUACAUGCAAGUAGAACGCACAGUUUAUACCGUAGCUUGCUACACCAUAGACUGUGAGUUGCGAACGGGUGAGUAACGCGUAGGUAACCUGCCUGGUAGCGGGGGAUAACUAUUGGAAACGAUAGCUAAUACCGCAUAAUAUUGAUUAUUGCAUGAUAAUUGAUUGAAAGAUGCUAUUGCAUCACUACCAGAUGGACCUGCGUUGUAUUAGCUAGUAGGUGAGGUAACGGCUCACCUAGGCGACGAUACAUAGCCGACCUGAGAGGGUGAUCGGCCACACUGGGACUGAGACAGGCCCAGACUCCUACGGGAGGCAGCAGUAGGGAAUCUUCGGCAAUGGACGAAAGUCUGACCGAGCGACGCCGCGUGAGUGAAGAAGGUUUUCGGAUCGUAAAGCUCUGUUGUAAGAGAAGAACGGGUGUGAGAGUGGAAAGUUCACACUGUGACGGUAUCUUACCAGAAAGGGACGGCUAACUACGUG
rnacentral:rRNA from 1 species